GCCUGGCUGGCUCAGUUGGUAGAGCAUAUAACUUUUGAUAUCGGGGUUGUAAGUUCAAGCCCCAUGUUAGGCA
rnacentral:tRNA from 1 species